GAUGAACGCUAGCGGGAGGCUUAAUACAUGCAAGUCGAACGGUAACAGGUCCUUCGGGAUGCUGACGAGUGGCGCACGGGUGCGUAACACGUACGCGACCUACCUUCAAGAGGGGGAUAGCCCUGGGAAACUGGGAUUAAUACCGCAUAGUAUUAUUAGGUUGCAUGACUUAAUAAUUAAAACUUAGGUGCUUGAAGAUGGGCGUGCGUUCCAUUAGGUAGAUGGUUGAGGUAACGGCUCACCAUGCCGACGAUGGAUAGCGGGUCUGAGAGGAUGAUCAGCCACACUGGAACUGAGACACGGUCCAG
rnacentral:rRNA from 1 species